rnacentral:tRNA from 1 species
GAGGGUAUAGCUUAGUGGUAGAGUGUGUGCUUAGCAUGCACAAGGUCCUGGGUUCAGUCCCCAGUACCUCCA